rnacentral:rRNA from 1 species
CCUACGGGAGGCAGCAGCUAAGAAUAUUCCGCAAUGGACGAAAGUCUGACGGAGCGACGCCGCGUGGAUGAUGAAGGCCGGAAGGUUGUAAAGUCCUUUUAUCUGUGAAGAAGAAGACUAAGAGGGAAUGCUUAAUUGGUGACGGUAGCGGAUGAAUAAGCACCGGCUAAUUACGUGCCAGCAGCCGCGGUAAU